CACGUAGGCGGCUCUUUAAGUCAGGGGUGAAAUCCUGGAGCUCAACUCCAGAACUGCCUUUGAUACUGAGAGGCUUGAGUCCGGGAGAGGUGAGUGGAACUGCGAGUGUAGAGGUGAAAUUCGUAGAUAUUCGCAAGAACACCAGUGGCGAAGGCGGCUCACUGGCCCGGUACUGACGCUGAGGUGCGAAAGCGUGGGAGCAAACA
rnacentral:rRNA from 1 species